rnacentral:rRNA from 1 species
UACAGAGGGUGCAAGCGUUAAUCGGAAUUACUGGGCGUAAAGCGUGCGCAGACGGUUGCGUAAGUCAGAUGUGAAAGCCCCGGGCUCAACCUGGGAAUUGCAUUUGAGACUGCGUAGCUAGGGUGCGGAAGAGGGAAGCGGAAUUUCCGUUGUAGCGGUGAAAUGCGUAGAUAUCGGAAGGAACACCAGUGGCGAAAGCGGCUUCCUGGUCCAGCACCGACGUUCAGGCACGAAAGCGUGGGGAGCAAACAGG